ACCCGGGUGGCUCUGUCGGUUGAGCGUCAGACUUCAGCUCAGGUCGUGAUCUCACAGUUCGUGGGUUUGAGCCCCAUCCUGGGCU
rnacentral:tRNA from 1 species